UACGUAGGGUCCGAGCGUUGUCCGGAAUUACUGGGCGUAAAGAGCUCGUAGGUGGUUUGUCGCGUUGUUCGUGAAAACUCACAGCUCAACUGUGGGCGUGCGGGCGAUACGGGCAGACUAGAGUACUGCAGGGGAGACUGGAAUUCCUGGUGUAGCGGUGGAAUGCGCAGAUAUCAAGCGGAACACCGGUGGCGAAGGCGGCCUUCUGGACAAUGACUGACGCUAAAACGCGAAAGCGUGGGGAGCAAACAGG
rnacentral:rRNA from 1 species